UUAACGUGGCCACUCACAUUUCAGGGGCGGUCUUUGUUGAAUCCUGGCCACGCCCCUUCACUGUCCUCUCUUCAAGUGUCAGCUGUAACAGAAAGUGAAAACAGUCCGACAUUUUGUUGUGAAUCUGCGCCUUCAAACAUUUCAGACAUUAAAAUGGCGUUAAUGCGGUGAACCUCUCUGCUGUGUCCGGAGAUUUCCCCUCAGUUUGGUGAGUGAAGCUGGAGGAUUAUAUCGCGGUGAAGAAGCCGUUCUGAGAGCUGCUGCAGUCUACACCAUUUCUCCUCCUACUGGAUGUCCUCUGGGUUGUACUUUGCUGCAUGAAUGUUCCCUAAGAAAAGGAUGCUGUGGUGUAGUACACGUGUAGUGUAGAGACAGCAAAAAUUAAGCAGUGGUGCUGAAAAAAGGAGGAAGAGGGAGGAAACCAAAACUUUUUAUAAAAGCCUGUGACGUGUUUUUAAUGAACAGAUUUUGCCUUUGGCAUGAAGGCAAGUUGCAGUUCUGCAGGCACUGAGGUGUCUUUCUCUCUCUCUCUCUCUCCCCUCUCCCUCAUACACACAGACAUGCUCUUUCAAAUAUACAUUUCCUCAUACACACACACUCUCUCUCUCUCUCUCUCUCUCUCUCUCUCUCUCUCUCUCUCUCUCUCUCUCUCAUGUUUACACCCCUCUUCUCCUCCUCUGAAUUAUGCAGACAUGAUCAUAUGUCAGUUUAAUGUCACAUGAAGAUAUUGGGCCAUCCAGAUGUGGAUUCAUGUUCAGUGCUACUUUAAUUAAAUAUGAUAUAAACAUAAUGUAUGUAUAUGUAUGUGUGUGUGUGUGUGUUAAAUAUAAAGUUUAUAAAGUUUCAGUCCUGAUUGAGGAGAUGUACAGGUGAGUGGUGAAGUUCUACUACACUGCACCCAGAUAAUGCCCUGUCUAAUGAACAAUGCUGUCUUGAUUGUUUUAUAUUCUUUGUCACACUGUUCUUCUGUUUCUGUUUAUUUUACAAAUAUGACUUAAUAUCUGUUCAGUGCUACUUCAAAUAAAUGUUUAAAAUAGAA